CCCGCCGGCGACCGGCGCACGGGUGAGUAACACGUAUGAAACCUGCCCGUAGCAGGGGGAUAAGCGGAAGAAAUUCCGUCUAAUACCGCGUAACAACCCAUGGAGGCAUCUCUGUGGGUUUAAAGGAAGCGAUUCCGGCUACGGAUGGUCAUGAGUCGCAUUAGCUUGUUGGCGGGGUAACGGCCCACCAAGGCGACGAUGCGUAGGGGUUCUGAGAGGAAGGUCCCCCACACUGGUACUGAGACACGGACCAGACUCCUACGGAAGGCAGCAG
rnacentral:rRNA from 1 species